rnacentral:lncRNA from 1 species
GGGACUGAACUCAGGACCUUGCAUUUGCCAGGCAGGCAUGGUGCCAGUGAGUUACAUCCCCAGUCCUCAAUUCUUUUUUUUAUACCCCCCUUCCCUCUCUUUCUUUCCCUUCCCUCUAUUUCUCAUCCCUUUCAUCCAUUUGAUAAAGAUUUCCUUACUUUCUAUUUAUCUAUCUUCUAUUUUGCUCUCUCUUUCUCUCUCUGUGUGUGUGUGUGUGUGCAUUGAAUUUCUUAUCUAAGAAUAUUUAGAUAGUUAUAUGCAAUAUAAUUGCAUUUUAAAUUUUUUGUGGUGUGGUCUACAGGCAUUGACCAGACUGCCAAACAAACUCAAAAGCCCAAAAAGGGUUAAGGAGACUAACUUUUUAGUGGUGGAAUUUAUGGAACUAUGUAGGAGGGAUUUUGCUACAGGAUUUAUACACAUUGUCUCACUUUAUCCUCCAUACCAUUCUGUAUGGUUAGGAUUAAUGUCCCAAGGUCAUGCUGAUAUAAUCCAUGCUCUUAACCAUUAUGCAAUCCAGCCUUCCCAGGGCAGAGAUGGGACAGGAAUUAUCCUCUGGAUAUUAGACCAUGAUAGAUACCCUGGGGGCAUGUUCAACGAUAAAGCCAUCCUAUUUAGAAGCAUGGAAAUUGAAUGGCUGCUUUCUGCUCUAAGAGAUCGUAUUUAUGUAUAAAUAAAUGUAAUUAUUUAUGAGUCUCUGUUUCCCCUAACUCUGAACUGGGUACCUAUUCCUUCACCUAAAUCCCACUUUCCUCCCAUGGCCAGAACCCUAGGGAGGUUCACUAACUUCUGGAACAUUUUCUGGUGCCCUCCUAAAUACUUUCUGUUGCUUUUACUCUCUAUUGCUGUUACGUACAAAUGUACAUUACUCAUUGUAUGCUUUCUAGGACCAAAUUCUAGUCAUAUGCCUAUUUUGGUAAAGUUGGAUUUUAUCACCUUGAUACUCUAAUGUUUCAGAAUGGCUGAACCUAGUCACUGAAGAUCUUUUCUUCAGUUUUUUCAGAGACUUUGGCAAGCACAGAGGUGACUUUGAUAGCUUACAAUCUCUACGUCUCAUAAAUACAGGUAAGUGGUAGCCGCCAAAGACUGGGGAGAAAAGAACUGAGUGUUGUAAAGGAGACCCAUUAUUUCCACAGUUUAAGAGCAGGGGAAAGUAGGAUCCAUUUUUCAUCCUAUUGAAAAAUUAGCUUCAUCUCAACAAUAGUUUUAAUCUAGAAACGUCCAUGGCUUCAUAUUAGAAAGUAUUAUUAAGCAAGCAUGGGAGGCAACAGCCCAUUUACUGAAGGGCAAGAAGCCUUUCGAAAACCUCUCUCAUUACCCCCAAGUGGCUAUGCUGCCAGAAACUGACAGGGCACCAGAUUAGAGUGUGAUCACUCACAAUAUCCAACUCCUAGGUCCAGACUACUGCCUCUGUCGCUUCGUAUGAUGUUGAACAUUAUAGUAACACUGAUAGAACAACUGUUCAUCUCUAUUUGUCCAGGACAGGAGCACUUUAUGAUUUUUGUCAUGGCAUUAUUAUGUCCUGGCAAAACUUCAAGAAUGUCUCUCUCAAGAAUGUCAUAAUUUGGGCAAUACAUAAUAUUAUGAUCACCCUGUUUAUUGGUAAUCCACUUCAGCCACUUCUUUCAAAGAAAAGGGAAUCAAAACACAGAAAAGUAAAUGACAGAUGCCAGCUCACUAGGUGAGGUGAUAGUGCUAACUAACCUUUCCCCAGAGAGUCAUCCAUACUGUACUAAUAUCUCAAUUCACUGUUAUCUUCACGAUUACAGAUAUUUUGCUAACAUUACAUGUGUUUCCUCUAUACAGGCUGGAUUUUCCCCCUAUGGAAGUAUAAUUUACAUAUAACAAAGUAUGCAGAUCAUAAGUGUUUAGUUCCAUGAAUUUUAGCACUCCAAACAACAUAUAAAACAUUCCCAUCCAUCCUGAAAUUUCCACUGGGUCCCCUUCAGUUGGUUCUCCUACCUCAGAGGAAAAAUACAUUGAGAUUUUCAGACCCAUGGACUAUUUUGCCUAUUCUUGUGCUUCAUAAAAGAAAACAAAGUAAUCAUGCAGCUAAUGGGACGAAGAGGAAAAGGGUAAUCAUAGUAACAUAUACCUGUAAGAUUCUCCACGAGAAAAGACUGCCAAAGCCUUAUACCAGCUGGGAAUUUAUCCCAGGCCCACCUCCAAUAGCUUUCCUGACUCACCUAAAAGGGGAAAAAGUGCAACAGAUAAGGGUAGAGGUUCAAAGAAAAUAUUUUGGGAGUGCUACAACCAGAGAACAGAGUAGGAGCUAGAGGGAGAAAGAAAAAGAAAUACCACUGAAGAAACAUUUGUGAAGGUUACAUCCCCGAGACACAUGUCCACUGAAAAGCUCAGAUUUAGAUUAAGAAAUAUUCCCCUGGUGCCCUACUACCACACCAAGAAUUCCCGCAAGAUAAGAGAGUUUAAAACUGAAAGAGGCACAGGCCCUGAACUCUGUGCAGAGUACUCAGGGAAGCCCAAAGUCAAGAGGACACUAAAACGAGGAUGCUAGAAGAAGAGGAAGCUUCUGACACUGUAAAUAUUAAACCCAGCCCAAGGACUAGGUAGAUUAAUGCAAAUCCUCACACUGAGGCCUAUUUACCUCAGCCCCUAUAAUCCAAGGCAAUAUAUCUGGCUUUCAAGAAAGAAGAAGGCCAAAUAGAAUGAAAGACAACCCGAGUCUGAAGAGACAAGCGAGCUUUAGGGCCACACUCAAAACACAGAUGUCAAAACAUCGGAUGGAGAAUUGCAAAGAAAGAAAAGAAAACAACAUGCUACAACAAAUGGAAAACUCAUAGAGAUGAAAGCUGAGAAAGAAUCAAAAGGAAAUAGUGGAGCAGAAUAAUGGUUACCAGGGGUGGAGGCUGAGGUUGAGAUCGGUGAGAUACUGGUCAAAGUAUAUAAAAUUUCAGUUAAAUAAGAAGAGUAAGUUCAAGAGAUCUAUAUCUAUUGUACAACAUGGUGACUGUAGUUUAUAAUAAUGUAUUAUAUUAUUAAAAAUCACUAAGAAAAUCCCCAGUAUCAAAAAAUAUUCUCACCACAAAAAAUGAGGUAUUACAUAUUUCAAUUAGCAGACUUUAGCAAUGACACAAUAUAUACCUAUUUUUUAGUUUUUAAAUUACAAUUAGUAGCACAGGCAGUAUUAACUGGAAAAUGUAAUGGGUUUCUUUGUGACAUUGUCAUACUUGCAUAUUACAUUAUUUGGUCAUACCCAUCCUCUCUUGAUCCUCCUGGCCCUUUUCCUAUUACCAACUAGUCUCCCUUCUACUUUCAUGUCUUUUCUUCCCCCUAGAUUCCACAUAUGAGAAAACCCAUGUGAUCCAUGCCUUUCUGAGUCUGUUCUUAGUUACUUUUCUCUCAUUGUUAAGACAAAAUACCGGCAUCCAAAGUUAGAGGGGAAAAGGUUUUAUUUAGCUCACAAUUUGUAGCAGUUUCAGUCCAUAAUCGGCUGGCUCCAAGGCAGGGUGGCACAUGGCAGAGGAGCAACAGUUCAUGGCAGCAAAGACUGCAAAAGCAAGUAAGCAAUGGAACUUAACAGUGUCUUUCUGUCCUUUUAUCUUGCCCAGACUACAUAGGGCAGGUAGCACUCACAUCCUUAAUCAUAGUGCUCUUGAGCCUAGGAUUGCACCAUGAAUCAAUCACACACUUUAAAUUCGGCCACCUCUGAAAAAAUCCCACCUAAGAGGCUUUGGUGGGACAUCUAGAUACAAGCCAUAGCACAUGAUGAUCUCCAGUACCAUUCAUUUGCCUGCAAAUGAUAUGAUUUUGUUCUUCUUUGUGGGUGGGUAAUACUCCAUUGUAUAUAUUUACCACGUCUUUAUUCAUUCAUCCUUUUAUAGGCAGAUAUCCUGAUUCCAUAAUUUGGCAAUUGUGAAUAGCACCAUAAUAAACAUGGGUGUCACAUGAUCCUCACCAUAAGCCAAGCAGAUGCCAGCACCCUGUUCUUGGACUUCUAGAACUCGUUAACUUGAAAAGGGUAUAAUUGAUCAAGCCUAAAUCCCUUACAUCACCCAGGACCGUGUGAGAGGCUCAUACCCAGCAAGCCACUUGAGUUGGCCCAGGCAGACAGCAGUUGUCUUCAGCAUCUAACACCCAUGGGCCCAACAGCUUCAAAUUACAUCUUAUAUGUGCAGUUCUGGAUGGAAAAUGUGAUGAACUAUAAGAACUCCUCCAGUGCAUGCUGAAAAAGGAAAAAGGAAGCUAUACUACCCCAAGCCACUGGAAACAUCACCUAAUGAUUUCAAACGCAUUCCUCUUUGUCUGAAUGCAUUCCAACCAAAAGUUAUUUCUAACCACCUAGUAUUCCAGGGUGCUGGUGUGUGUGCAGCCAUCUCCCUUUAUAUUUUAUUAAAGGUGGAAUCAAGGAUUGCAUCUAGCCUAUGUUCAAACUUUUUAAUGGAAUCAAAAUCCUCUAAGGAUUAUCUUAAAUCCAGGUAAUACUGUUAAGUGGAACCUCAAUGUAGCCAAAUAGCUGCAUGGUUAGAAACAUGUAUCUCUGUCUCCUUAAAGUGAUCCCAUGAAUCUGGGUUUCUGUCUCCGAUCCACUUAAAUGUUGGCAUAUGUAUUAUGAGGAAACACAUUGAUGGAAACUCAAAAAACACUCAAACAAAUGCCAGGAUGUCUCUGUAUAAGGAUGGUUUGGAAAAAUUCUAUCAGUCUAAUCCAUCUCAUUUAAUCUCAUCUUCUGAAAGACCCAAAUUCUAUUCCAUUCCUGUGAAUAAGACUAUCUUUUUUCCUUAUCCAGUAUCUUCUUCUCCUUUUCUGUGUCAGUACCCCCCAGCUUAUGCAUCAGCCAAACAGCUCCCCUUUUCCAGGGCAACCUCAAGUUUUACUUCCUACUGAUGCCUUCCUAAUGCAUAUUAAUUUCCAGAGCCUGUCUCAUUUGUGAAACUUGCAAUUCCCCCCAUACCCAAGUCACUGCAGAGGCCAGGCCAGGACCUGUGUUCAGCUUUGCUUUCUCUGCAUGGCACUAGGCUCAAGGCACAAGCAGCCACUUAUCAUGGAGAAAGUUAUCAUCAUGACAUAGUAGUUCCCCCAGACACUGUGUAGCAUUUUUAUGAUUAUAUGUUUGCAGUACAUAAUAAUUAUAUUCAUUGUGGGCAAUCACAUGUUCGUGGACAUAACACAUCUUAAUUCAUUUUUGCAUCCCCUUUCCCUCCCCUUGGUUUGCGCCUCCCUCCACUUCUUGGUCACCGUCCCUUUUGCAAAUGAUCUCCAUGCUUCCUAUUAUCUAUCUUUUAUUUUGCUCUUUAAUUUAUUUAUAUUUUGGGUUUCUCAUAUAAGAGAAACUAUGCAAUAUUUAAGCUUGUAUAUCUGGUUUAUUUUACCUAACAUAUUGCACCUAUUUUUCCCACAAAUGACUCAAGUUUACCCUUCUUUAUGGCAGAGUAGUAUACCAUUCUAUAUAAAUACCACGUUUUCUUUUCUUUUUUUUUUUUUUUGGCACUGAGGAUUGAACUUGGGUCCUUGCGCUUGUGCCGCAGGUGAUGAAACAACUGAGCUAAAUUCCCGGCCAUGUUUUCUUUAUUUAUUCAUCUGUUGAUGGGCAUAUAGGCUGCUUUCAAGAGUUAGCUAUUGUGAGUUAUGCUAUUAUUAAUAUGGGUAUGAAUGUAUCACUGGAAUAUGAUGUAUUUAAUUCUUUCAAGAAGAUACCCAGUAGGAGAAUAGCUGAGUUGAGUGGGACUUCUACUUUUAGUUUUUGAAGAGCCUACAUACUGAUUUCCAUAGUAGUUCUAUUAGUUUGCAGUCCUACCAAGAAUGUAGAAAGGUUUCUUUUCUCCUGCAGCUUCACCAGCAUUUGUUAUUAUGUGAUUUCUUUAUAAUAGCCAUUCUUUCUAGAGUAAGAAUCUCAGUGUUGGAUUUUUGAAUGAGAGGUCAUCAUUUUACAGAGGA